GAAAUGCGAUACGCAAUGCGAAUUGCAGAACUCCGCGAGUCAUCAGAUCUUUGAACGCAAAUGGCGCCAGUUUACUGGCAUGUUUGUUUCAGUGUGUUUGGAGAGCAUAAUCUAAUCAGUUUAUUUGAAUGCGAUUGAAGGGGUUUUAGUACUUCUUCUCUCGUUAAAUUUGAAGGUGUGAGGAUAAAACCCACACUGAACAAACGAAGUAGUCACAUUUAUGUGAUCUCGUUUAAUCAGUAAGUGAAGUUUUUCUCUCUUCGGAGACCUCGGAUGCCUGAACCCAAACCAAUCUCCAUAAUUAGCACCUGAAAUCAAGCAAGGCUACCCGCUGAACUUAA
rnacentral:misc_RNA from 1 species